AUGAAAAUGAAAUGCAAAUGCAAAAGUUUUGGAGGUUCUGAGGCAUCAUCUUGUGGAGGACUCAUGUUAAGAUCAAUCCCAAACAUCAUUGCGGCGGUGGAGCACUUGCUCAGCAGCAGCAACAACAGAGGCGGGGGCGGGGAAUACCAGCAGCAACAGAGGCGAGGGCGGGCGCGACCGGAGGAGGGCCAGCACGGAGAGGAAGACCCUGGGCUUGGAGGAGAGGUUGAGCAGGGCCAACGCGGCGAUGAAGACCCUGGGCCAGAGCAGCGACGAAGACCCAGCGCCGCGACGGCGUCCAAAAUUGUCCGCGGCGACGGCGGCCAAGGCGGACCAAAUCGAGGACCUAGUCGUCGAUUUACUGCUUCUUGGCACGAUUCAGAGGGAGGUGACGAAGAGGAAGAACUUUAG
rnacentral:rRNA from 1 species